GUUUUCUACUUGUAUAUCUGAAUAUUUAAAAGGUCGUGUUUGUUUUCAUUGUGACUUUAAAAGCUGUUUUUGCAGUACGGUGGUGCGUUCAGGGGUCAGAAUAAAGUCCAGAAUUCAGAGCUUCUGUUGAAUGAUUCUGGUUCAUGGUUCAGGCCCCUCUCCUCUCCUUCACGAUGUUCUAUUUAAACAUGUGUCCAUGUUACGGUGUGUGUUACGUGAAGUACCUCCAGUGAAAGUGUUUGACCCCCGCCUGUGACAGACUUUAAACUGCAUGACUCUGGGUCAGUGUUCCUGUCUCAUGAUGCUACUGAGAGUUAUUUACUGACUGUACUCUUUGUCUCUGUAUCCAAACUACUGUUGUGUAACACGGACGUCUUAUCGUGUUCAUCAGGAGGCAGUUCGUCCUGUUUGCUGCCGUGACGUCUGAAAAACAAACCUGACCUGCAGAAAACCUGCUGGGCCCGACUGUGAUCGUCUUCUGUCGCUGCUGUCGGGACAAAAUGAUGCAAGAAGAGAACAAAGAGGAGUUUUGUUGAGCGGCUAAAACAGCAGAAAUAAUUCCAUCAGCCCGAUGCUGCUCAUCUGAGGGAGUCAGUGCAAUAAAACUUAAUCCACAACAAAUCACCCACAGCAGAAACACCCAGAGGGAAAGGGCUUUCAUUUCUUUCCUGUGGUGGAGCAUGUGAUCCAGAUACUGUUGACAGUGUGCUGCAGAUGAUUGUACAUAUGGAGGUGGAACUGUGAUUAAAAUCUGAAUUGUA